rnacentral:rRNA from 1 species
UUUGACGGAGAGUUUGAUCCUGGCUCAGGACGAACGCUGGCGGCGUGCUUAACACAUGCAAGUCGAACGAUGAUGCCCAGCUUGCUGGGCGGAUUAGUGGCGAACGGGUGAGUAAUACGUGAGUAACCUGCCCUUGACUCUGGGAUAAGCCUGGGAAACUGGGUCUAAUACUGGAUACUACCGUCCACCGCAUGGUGGGUGGUGGAAAGGGUUUUACUGGUUUUGGAUGGGCUCACGGCCUAUCAGCUUGUUGGUGGGGUAAUGGCUCACCAAGGCGACGACGGGUAGCCGGCCUGAGAGGGUGACCGGCCACACUGGGACUGAGACACGGCCCAGACUCCUACGGGAGGCAGCAGUGGGGAAUAUUGCACAAUGGGCGGAAGCCUGAUGCAGCGACGCCGCGUGAGGGAUGACGGCCUUCGGGUUGUAAACCUCUUUCAGUAGGGAAGAAGCGAGAGUGACGGUACCUGCAGAAGAAGCGCCGGCUAACUACGUGCCAGCAGCCGCGGUAAUACGUAGGGCGCAAGCGUUGUCCGGAAUUAUUGGGCGUAAAGAGCUCGUAGGCGGUUUGUCGCGUCUGCUGUGAAAGCCCGGGGCUCAACCCCGGGUCUGCAGUGGGUACGGGCAGACUAGAGUGCAGUAGGGGAGACUGGAAUUCCUGGUGUAGCGGUGAAAUGCGCAGAUAUCAGGAGGAACACCGAUGGCGAAGGCAGGUCUCUGGGCUGUUACUGACGCUGAGGAGCGAAAGCAUGGGGAGCGAACAGGAUUAGAUACCCUGGUAGUCCAUGCCGUAAACGUUGGGCACUAGGUGUGGGGGACAUUCCACGUUUUCCGCGCCGUAGCUAACGCAUUAAGUGCCCCGCCUGGGGAGUACGGCCGCAAGGCUAAAACUCAAAGGAAUUGACGGGGGCCCGCACAAGCGGCGGAGCAUGCGGAUUAAUUCGAUGCAACGCGAAGAACCUUACCAAGGCUUGACAUUCACCGGACCGCCCCAGAGAUGGGGUUUCCCUUCGGGGCUGGUGGACAGGUGGUGCAUGGUUGUCGUCAGCUCGUGUCGUGAGAUGUUGGGUUAAGUCCCGCAACGAGCGCAACCCUCGUUCUAUGUUGCCAGCACGUGAUGGUGGGGACUCAUAGGAGACUGCCGGGGUCAACUCGGAGGAAGGUGGGGAUGACGUCAAAUCAUCAUGCCCCUUAUGUCUUGGGCUUCACGCAUGCUACAAUGGCCGGUACAAAGGGUUGCGAUACUGUGAGGUGGAGCUAAUCCCAAAAAGCCGGUCUCAGUUCGGAUUGAGGUCUGCAACUCGACCUCAUGAAGUCGGAGUCGCUAGUAAUCGCAGAUCAGCAACGCUGCGGUGAAUACGUUCCCGGGCCUUGUACACACCGCCCGUCAAGUCACGAAAGUUGGUAACACCCGAAGCCGGUGGCCUAACCCCUUGUGGGAGGGAGCCGUCGAAGGUGGGACUGGCGAUUGGGACUAAGUCGUAACAAGGUAGCCGUACCGGAAGGUGCGGCUGGAUCACCUCCUUUCUAAGGAG